rnacentral:rRNA from 1 species
UGGGGAAUAUUGGACAAUUGGGGGAACCCUGAUCCAGCCAUGCCGCGUGUGUGAAGAAGGCCUUAUGGUUGUAAAGCACUUUAAGCGAGGAGGAGGGUACUGGUAUUAAUACUACCAGGUACUGGACGUUACUCGCAGAAUAAGCACCGGCUAACUCUGUGCCAGCAGCCGCGGUAAUACAGAGGGUGCGAGCGUUAAUCGGAUUUACUGGGCGUAAAGCGUGCGUAGGCGGCUAAUUGAGUCGGAUGUGAAAUCCCCGAGCUUAACUUGGGAAUUGCAUUCGAUACUGGUUAGCUAGAGUGUGGGAGAGGAUGGUAGAAUUCCAGGUGUAGCGGUGAAAUGCGUAGAGAUCUGGAGGAAUACCGAUGGCGAAGGCAGCCAUCUGGCCUAACACUGACGCUGAGGUACGAAAGCAUGGGGAGCAAACAGG